rnacentral:rRNA from 1 species
UACAGAGGUCUCAAGCGUUGUUCGGAUUCAUUGGGCGUAAAGUGUGCGCAGGCGGCCGCGCAAGUCGAGUGUGAAAGCCCCGAGCUUAACUUGGGAAUUGCGCUCGAAACUACGUGGCUGGAGUGUGGCAGAGGAAGGUGGAAUUCCACGUGUAGCGGUGAAAUGCGUAGAGAUGUGGAGGAACACCGAUGGCGAAGGCAGCCUUCUGGGCCAACACUGACGCUCAUGCACGAAAGCGUGGGGAGCAAACAGG